rnacentral:other from 1 species
UUUACCCUGCGGUGUUCGAGAUUACAGGUGUGAUUCCCGAACCGAUAUUUCAUUGACCAGGAGGCUUGGCUGCAUUGGGAAGAUGACAUGCCUUAAUUGGAAGUCAGACGCUCGUGCGGCGGUCAUCCGCCCGUUACCGAAAGGGAACGGGAUAUCCGCCUAAACGGCAUUUGCGGGGUAAUA